GUGUCUGCAACGAGAUCUGGUGCGAUUGGACCUUGACCGCAUCCCUUCCAAGCCCCUGACCAUGUCUGAGUUCUCCUCUGUCCAGAACCAGACCUUGUGGUUAAGAGUCAGUGCAUAAGGUAUGCUGUUGAAAUGACAACCAAAACUGGCAAAAUCCUUGAGAUUAUCUCAGAGGAGAUUCCUGAAGGAAAAGGAGACAGUUAACUACCCCGAGGGCUGAUGAGCUUGGUCUCUUGGGAGAAGAGCUCUAAAGCCAGGAACCAACGUCCUUCUCAGAGCUAUCCUACCUUACAGAUCCCUGGAUUGUCACAGCUGAGGAGAGAUCCAGUAACUGGAGUAGGCAGAGACCAGAGAAAGCACGGUAGAAGCCAAGGGCCCAAGAGGCAGGUCGGAGUCUGGUUUGUGGAGUGUCGAGGUGUCUUGUCUGCAACAGGAGGAAAGAGGAAGCAUUCUUUCAGGCUAUGUUCCAGAUGCAAAAAGCAAUGCCCUGCCAGUGCUUGCUACCACACGGAUGGACGGGCCAUUAAAAACAUGGUCCUCACGCCCUCGUUAGCCAGUUCAAGAGGCAAGACACGGAAAAACUACAGGCUGCAUGAUUUAACUUGUAGAAUUUGCCAGAAUUCCCCCCAGACAAAUCCCCUGAGAAAGAAAGGACAAGUCUGGGGGGCUUGCAGGGAGCGGUGACUUCUGGAAGUGUUCUUGCUGCUGAUUUCCUGUGUCCUAUGACCAACAUAUAUGCUGUCUUCAAGUUCUAGUGGGCAACCAAGAGCAAUGCCUUCAUGAGUCUCAUUCCAACUCGCAAACACCAAAGCCAGGAGGAACAGCAGCAUGCUUGGCUUUGCACCUACAAAUUCUAAAAAGGUUUCAUCUUCCUUCGGGAGACACAGGCAUGAUGCUUUCUGUUGGCCUGGGGCCGCAGCUACCAGAGAAAAGCAGGCUCGAGGUUUGGUUUCCCUCAAUGCAGCAGUAUUUCCUCAGUGUGCAGGAGCAGGAGUUUUUGUUGAGACAGAAAGGACUCCUGAGAUAAAAGAUGCUUUUGAAAUGGUGGCAUCCUUUUACCUGGACCAUAAGAUAAGUCUAGGCCUCCGUCUCAUGGAAUGAUGUCGCCUCCCUUAGGAUGGGUCUUCCCUUCUCAAGUCAUCCUUCCCAGAAAACAUCUUCAUAGAUAAACAGGAUGUGACUCCAAAGCCAGUGAAAUUGAGCCAUCCUGAUGCUAUUGUCUCAAUCGUUGCUAUGUAGGCUGGGGCUCACAGCAUGGAGUGAGGUCAUAGUGUUGAUCAAGUAGCAGAAAUGGAAGCUUACAGAACUUGAACCCACCAUGGUAUAUGCCAGCGAGGGCCGCCGUUAUCUCUGCAGUUUUGAGCACUGGUGAUAUGUCAGAUCACAGCUUACAGUGUCAUUACGUAUGCCAGCAUUCAGUUUUGUCAAGUUUGUCAGGUUGUCAAGGCAGCAGUGACACUGGGCAGUGGUCUCCUAUUCCUGUGAUUUCAUAUAUCCAAAGGUAUUUGGGGGCUAUAGAGAUAGCUCAGUGGGUGAAUUCUUACUGUUCGACAAUGAGGAUCUUAAUUCAAGCCCUUAAGUCCCGUGUGAAAACUCAGACGUGGCUAACCUGCACACACAACCCCAGCACUGUAGGAGGUGGGGACAGAAGGAUCUGCCUGCCUUGCUGGCUGCCACGUUCACCGAGAGACCCUGUCUCAAAGAAUACGGUAGAGAGGGGUAGAACAGAACAUCUAAUGUCUUAAUGUCUUCUGGCUACUGAGUGAGCACACACAUGUAUUUACACUACACUCAAUGCACAUGUUACACACACAUACACAGAGAGGGGGAGGGGAGAGAGAGAGAGAGAGAGAGAGAGAGAGAGAGAGAGAGAGAGAGAGAGAGAAUUUCAUGUCAAAAUGAGGAGGAAAGCUAUAAGCUCUGAAGACCAUCAUUGUAAUAAAGUCAAUGCUGUCUUAGAGAAACCCAGGACAAUGCCCUGAGCAAUAUCUUCAUCUCUCCAGGGGCCAGUGAAAAAUGGAGCCUGUGCCCAGAACUUCCAAGAUGGAGAAGUCACUGUCCCUUUUUUUCAGUGGCCACAACCCAUUGACAUCUCUGCCUGGACAAAUGGCUGCUCCAGCAUGGUGUGGGACACAGAAGGAGCUUCUAAUCUACUUCUCUGUCCCCAUCACAGGAAAAGGCUAGCAAGAUGUCCAGCCCAUCUCCUUCCUCCAUCCUGGGUAGAAUUCUAAUUCUCUCCUCAUGUUCUUGGAAGGAGAGACAGUGGAUAUAAAAUUUAAAAACCACAAGGUGGAGACUAAGAAGCAUCUGAACAUGCAGGCAGAACACGUGUGUGUGUGUGUGUGUGUGUGUGUGUGUGUGUGUGUGUGUGUGUGAGAGUGUGUGAGUAUGAGUGUGUGUGAGUAUGUGUGAGUAUGAGUGUGUGUGAGUGUGAGUGUGUGUGAGUGUGAGUAUGUGUGUGAGAGUGUGAGUGUGUGUGAGCAUGUGUGUGAGAGUGUGAGUGAGUAUGUGUGAGUGUGUGUUGCUGUCCUCUUGUACUUACAUGAAGUGGCAGCAGGUCUUGUUGGACUUCACGUGGCUAAGUCAGAAUAGAACUGGAGGUCUUCAGUCUGGCCUUCCACCAAUAGCUCUGUGCUGACUGGUGACAUUGGUGUAGCACUGCCGCCUUGCUCUCUCACAUACUUGAGCAAGGAGGGACUAUGAUUACACAACCUUCUGCCUACAAUGGGGCCUCAGUAAACCUGCUGAUGGAAAAGGCAGGGGAUUAAAAGCUGAUGAACUGGUGAACAGAAUUGCAGAGCCUUGUCCCACCCCUUCACCGUGGCUUUACUUUUGGGUUAACAGAAGUAUUCAGUGCACAGAGGCGAAGUUCACAUGUGUGGUCUCCACCCAAAGCAGUUGCCAUUCACAUGAAGAGGAUGCAAGUCGGGGUGAUUUUUGCAUUGGAUCUGACUCGCCAGGAAAGAUGAUGUUUCUGAAGUUAGAAGUCAUCUACUGGGGACCGAGCUAGACCCUUACUAAAUGUUUAACCAUCUCUGGAACACGAGUUCCAUCUCCCCGGCAGAAUCAAAGUUGAGUUCAGGUUCCCAGGCCCCAGAACCAACUCCUAGCCCACUCGUUCAGAUGCUUCAUGUUGGUCUGUUAGCCAGUGAAGGCUGUAAAGAGGGGAGAGGCUGUGAUCCAGUCAUCUACGUUAAGGCACACGGCUCGUAUGUGUGCUGCUCAUCUUGACUUAAUUGACUGUGUGUGGCUUGCCCUCUCCUUGUUCCCUUACCAUUCUAAAUUCCAGGGCAGCAUCCAGGAGGGGACCUGAAUGCAAAAGCUGAUUCAGGAACCUGAAACCAGGUGACCUGGAAAAGACCCAGUCACCAAUGUUAACUUCUUUGUUUAAACCCCUUGUGUCAAAAUGUGAUCGGUCAAUGCAACAGCCCACCCUGAUCCCCCUUGCUUUGUGUUUCCAUUCUACUAAAAUGUAGCACAAUUUCCCUUAGGGGGCGCUGUUUUGAUCCCGAACUGAGUGCCUCCCUGAGCGCUCAGAAAAUAAAGCUUUCAUUUUAAAGCUUCC